UACCAGCACCCCGAGUGGUCGGGACGAUUAUUGGGCCUAAAGCGUCCGUAGCCGGUCCUACAAGUCUUCCGUUAAAUCCACCUGCUUAACAGAUGGGCUGCGGAAGAUACUAUAGGGCUAGGAGGCGGGAGAGGCAAGCGGUACUCAGUGGGUAGGGGUAAAAUCCUCAGAUCCAUUGAAGACCACCAGUGGCGAAGGCGGCUUGCCAGAACGCGCUCGACGGUGAGGGAUGAAAGCUGGGGGAGCAAACCGG
rnacentral:rRNA from 1 species